AUGGUAGGAUAGAGGCCUACCAUGGUGGUAACGGGUAACGGGGUGUUAGGGCACGACACCGGAGAGGGAGCCUGAGAAACGGCUACCACAUCCAAGGAUGGCAGCAGGCGCGCAAAUUACCCAAUCCCGACACGGGGAGGUAGUGACAAUAAAUAACAAUACGGGGUUCUUUAGGAUCUCGUAAUUGGAGUGAGUACAAUUUAAAUCUCUUAACGAGGAACAAUUGGAGGGCAAGUCUGGUGCCAGCAGCCGCGGUAAUUCCAGCUCCAAUAGCGUAUAUUAAAGUUGUUGCAGUUAAAAAGCUCGUAGUUGAAUUUCGGGGUCAGUAGGUCGGUCGUGCCACUGGUAUGAACUGGUUUUACUGAUUCCUCCCUCUUGAAGAACUGUAAUGCCAUUAAUUUGGUGUUGCAGGGAAUCAGGACUGUUACUUUGAAAAAAUUAGAGUGUUUAAAGCAGGCUUUAGCUUGAAUACAUUAGCAUGGAGUAAUGAAAUAGGACGUUUGAUCCUAUUUUGUUGGUUUCUAGGAUUGACGUAAUGAUUAAUAGGGAUAGUUGGGGGCAUUAGUAUUCAAUUGUCAGAGGUGAAAUUCUUGGAUUUAUUGAAGACUAACUACUGCGAAAGCAUUUGCCAAGGAUGUUUUCAUUAAUCAAGAACGAAAGUUAGGGGAUCGAAGACGAUCAGAUACCGUCGUAGUCUUAACCAUAAACUAUGCCGACUAGGGAUCGGAUGAUGUUAAUUUUUUAAUGACUCAUUCGGCGCCUUACGGGAAACCAAAGUGUUUGGG
rnacentral:rRNA from 1 species